rnacentral:rRNA from 1 species
CAAAUGACUCUCGGCAAUGGAUAUCUCGGCUCUUGCAUCGAUGAAGAACGUAGUGAAAUGCGAUACUUGGUGUGAAUUGCAGAAUCUCGUGAACCAUUGAGUCUUUGAACGCAAGUUGUGCCCGAGGCUUUGUGGCCUAGGGCACGUCUGCUUGGGCGUCAUGA